rnacentral:misc_RNA from 1 species
UGUUCGAGCGUCAUUAUAGCCACUCAAGCCUUGCUUGGUGUUGGGGCUCGCAAUCUUGCGGCCUCUAAAAUCAGUGGCGGUGCCGGUAGGCUCUGAGCGUAGUACAUCUUCUCGCUAUAGAGUCCUAUCGGUCCCCUGCCAAAACCCCCCAUAUUUUAUAGGUUGACCUCGGAUCAGGUAGGGAUACCCGCUGAACUUAA